GCAAGAAUACUGAUAAUAGAAUGUGGACAUUUUGCUUGAUGUCUCCUGGUAACAAGGUUGUCAGAUUUAGCAAAGAGAAAUACAGGCUGCUCAGGCAAAUUUGAAUCCCAGAUGACCACAGUGAAUGAUUCAUAGAACAAAUGGAGCCAUUGUUUCCAAGGGGGAUAUAAAACCAAAUAUAAGAUCAAAGUCAAUAUCUAUCAUCUAUCUAUCUAUCCAUCCAUCUAUCUUAUCUAUAAUACAAACAGAAGAGAAAGGAUAACUGAUGAUAAAGAAGAGAGGGGAAACAGCUGCCUGAACAAAAUCUCUGAAAAAACAACAAAGGGUAUAAUUCAUAUCGAUAUGGAAAGAUAUUACCUACUUAAGAAAAAACAUACCUUCCCUACAGUAAGUCACCUGUGCCUCAAGGGUAAAUGUCCGUGGUAUCUUCAAACCCAUCUGCUACAAGAAAAUGUUAAAGCAUAUUAGGAAAAUAUCUCUAAUCCUUUUUUAAUGUAAAAGGUACUUAUGACUUGCACACCAUUAACGCUAGGAGAGUCGAGAAAUGACUGCACGGUUCUAAUGUGAAAGUAUAAAUCAAAAAUUGUAUACUCAGCCAAGUGUUCCUUCAUCUAUAAUCAAUAGAGAGACACAGGCAACUACGCAACAGAUUUGGCAGUUUAACUCCUGGGAGCUUUUUUUUUCUUUUUUUUUUUUUAAUUUAAACAGACAGAUGUACAAACUGACAACGAAAUCUAACCAACCAAGAGAUUAAUCAGCUCAAUAAAUGGAAAAUAGUGAUAAAUCA
rnacentral:lncRNA from 1 species